AUGGAGCUUUAAACUUGUACCACUGCCCCAAACUACAUCAAUCAACCGGGCAAACAAUGGCUACUAGUCUUUCGGCUGGGGCGACCACGGAGAAAAACUAAACCUCCACGAUGAAAGGAACACCCUAAUUAAAGAGCUACAGCUCUAAAAAUCAACAAAUUGACAUAAUUGACCCAAACACUUUGAUCAACGAACCAAGUUACCCUGGGGAUAACAGCGCAAUCCAUUUCAAGAGACCCCAUCGACA
rnacentral:rRNA from 1 species